GUUUCGUAGGUGACCUGCGGAAGGAUCAUUAUUGAAUGAAUGUAGAGUCGGUUGUCGCUGGUCCUUUCGGGGACAUGUGCACGCCUUCUCUUUCAUCCACACACACCUGUGCACUCGUGAGACGGAAGCCCUCGGGCGUCCGUCUGCUCUACAUAAACUCAUAUCUAUAAUUUGAAUGUAAUUGAUGUAACACAUCUUUAAACUAAGUUUCAACAACGGAUCUCUUGGCUCUCGCAUCGAUGAAGAACGCAGCGAAAUGCGAUAAGUAAUGUGAAUUGCAGAAUUCAGUGAACCAUCGAAUCUUUGAACGCACCUUGCGCUCCUUGGUAUUCCUUGGAGCAUGCCUGUUUGAGUAUCAUGAAAUUAUCAAAAUAAUUCUUUUGUUCAUUCAAUUGAAUUUUAUUUUGGACUUGGAGGUCUGCAGAUUCACGUCUGCUCCUUUUAAAUAUAUUAGCUGGAUCUCAGUGAGCUCGGUUCCACUCGGCGUGAUAAGUAUCACUCGCUGAGGACACUGUAAAAGGUGGCCGGGAUUGCGGAUGAACCGCUUCUAAUCGUCCAUUUACUUGGACAACAAUACUUUAUGAUCUGAUCUCAAAUCAGGUAGGACUACCCGCUGAACUUAAGCAUAUCAAUAAGCGGAGGAAAAGAAACUAACAAGGAUUCCCCUAGUAACGGCGAGUGAAGCGGGAAGAGCUCAAAUUUAAAAUCUGGCGGUGUACUCCGUCCGAGUUGUAGUCUAGAGAAGCAUCAUCCGUGCCGGACCAUGUACAAGUCUCUUGGAACAGAGCGUCAUAGAGGGUGAGAAUCCCGUCCUUGACAUGGACUCCCGGCGCUUUGUGUUGAGCUCUCAACGAGUCGAGUUGGUUUGGGAAUGC
rnacentral:rRNA from 1 species